GUAGACACGUAGUUUGAUCAGUGGCUCGAGGACGAACGCUGGCGGCGUGACCUAACACAUGCAAGUCGAACGGAGUGAAGCCCUUCGGGACUUUACUUAGUGGCGAACGGGUGAGUAACGCGUGAGGAACCUGCCUUUCAGUGGGGGACAACAGUUGGAAACGACUGCUAAUACCGCAUGAUACUUUUUGGAGGCAUCUCUGGAAAGUCAAAGAUUUAUUGCUGAAAGAUGGUCUCGCGUCUGAUUAGCUAGUUGGCGGGGGUUAACGGGCCCACCAAGGCGACGAUCAGUAGCCGGUCUGAGAGGAUGAACGGCCACAUUGGGACUGAGAUACGGCCCAGACUCCUACGGGAGGCAGCAGUGGGGAAUAUUGGGCAAUGGGCGAAAGCCUGACCCAGCAACGCCGCGUGAAGGAAGAAGGCCUUCGGGUUGUAAACUUCUUUUAGCAGGGACGAAGGACGUGACGGUACCUGCAGAAAAAGCAACGGCUAACUACGUG
rnacentral:rRNA from 1 species